GAUGAACGCUGGCGGCGUGCCUAAUACAUGCCAGUCGAGCGAACGGACGAGAAGCUUGCUUCUCUGAUGUUAGCGGCGGACGGGUGAGUAACACGUGGAUAACCUACCUAUAAGACUGGGAUAACUUCGGGAAACCGGAGCUAAUACCGGAUAAUAUUUUGAACCGCAUGGUUCAAAAGUGAAAGACGGUCUUGCUGUCACUUAUAGAUGGAUCCGCUCUGCAUUAGCUAGUUGGUAAGGUAACGGCUUACCAAGGCAACGAUGCAUAGCCGACCUGAGAGGGUGAUCGGCCACACUGGAACUGAGACACGGUCCAGACUCCUACGGGGGGCAGCAGUAGGGAAUCUUCCGCAAUGGGCGAAAGCCUGACGGAGCAACGCCGCGUGAGUGAUGAAGGUCUUCGGAUCGUAAAACUCUGUUAUUAGGGAAGAACAUAUGUGUAAGUAACUGUGCACAUCUUGACGGUACCUAAUCAGAAAGCCACGGCUAACUACGUG
rnacentral:rRNA from 1 species